rnacentral:rRNA from 1 species
UACGUAGGGUGCAAGCGUUAAUCGGAAUUACUGGGCGUAAAGCGUGCGCAGGCGGUUGUGUAAGACAGGUGUGAAAUCCCCGGGCUUAACCUGGGAACUGCAUUUGUGACUGCACGGCUAGAGUGUGUCAGAGGGGGGUGGAAUUCCACGUGUGAGCAGUGAAAUGCGUAGAUAUGUGGAGGAACACCAAUGGCGAAGGCAGCCCCCUGGGAUAACACUGACGCUCAUGCACGAAAGCGUGGGGAGCAAACAGG